rnacentral:rRNA from 1 species
ACGGAGGGUGCAAGCGUUAUCCGGAAUCAUUGGGUUUAAAGGGUCCGCAGGCGGACUUAUAAGUCAGUGGUGAAAUCUCACAGCUUAACUGUGAAACUGCCAUUGAAACUGUAAGUCUUGAAUUCGGUCGAAGUGGGCGGAAUAUGACAUGUAGCGGUGAAAUGCUUAGAUAUGUCCUAGAACACCGAUAGCGAAGGCAGCUCACUAGGCCUGGAUUGACGCUCAGGGACGAAAGCGUGGGGAGCAAACAGG